CAUACACACGCAUUGCCCACACUCACACACACACACACACACACUGCAACUGUUACACACACAUACUGUCACACACAUACUGUCCCACACAUACACUGCACCCCUGACAUACACUGCCCCCCCUACUCACACACUACAACCUUCACACACACACACACACUGCACCCCUUACACAUUGCACCACUCACACACACCACUGCUCCUAUGGCCUACUACAGCCUAAUUUCCCAGCAGACCUCAGGUAAGUUGUCAAACUGUUCUUAAACGGUUUGACUACUUACUCUAGGAGGGGGUCCUGGCACUAUUGACACCAUAACCACUACACUGAGCUGUAGUGGUUAUUGUGUCCGGAUUAUUUCUUUAAAUAAUCUACAA